rnacentral:lncRNA from 1 species
UUUUUUUUAUUAUUACACGUUUAUAUCCGUAGAGCUAUCAUAAACGUCUGGCGAUUAUAUUCGCACGUAUUAUACAACCAAUUAAUCUUUUAUAUUUUUUUUGAAUCUAAAAUAAAAAAUCUCAAUGUUUUACAAUGUCCAAUAUAGCGAUUCGAUAAAUUUUAAAACGAAAUAUUGGCGUUACAAAUAUCUACUAUAAUAAUGAAUCAUCAAAUUUUUUACAUUUCGUGAGAUCGAAUCCAUAGUAUUCGACUACGCAAAAUGGAGACAUUUCGUUAAGGAACAAAUAACGCGUUAUAGAUGCCGAUACACCUAUACGUUACGGUUAAUGUUGUAAACUGGUUAAGGUCAUUACUCAAACGUAUUUUGUGAUGUUAUUUUUAAUCCGGGAAUGCGCUGAGUUAUUAUCAAACGUGAAGGUAAGAACAUGGUUUUUUUUGUGAUAUUUUAAUUUUUAAGCCACAUUUGAUGAUUUUUUUUUAAUUGUAAUAUUUCGCAUAUUCUUAAUUCGCUCGAAAAUUAAAAUAUCGAAGAAAAACAACCGAAGCAUAAUCACAGACAAUGUUCUUAACUUUAAGUUUCAUAACAGGCCAAUUCACUCUGAAGUUAAAACUAAUAGCGCAUGGUCGAAUCUACUAAACGACAAUUUGACACUGUCCUAUUAUUUUCGCUAUUAGCCGUAACACCAGUGACGUGUCCAGGAAUUUUCAAUGUGAGGGGAUGUAGUGAAUAAGAAUCGUAAAAUCGUCUUCUUUAUCCUAUUCGACUAUGGGAAUUAACAAUUAAUUUAAAAGCUGAAUCCUAAAAAAUGGACAAUUCCCAAUUAAUAUAUAAAGUUGUUCCUCGUAAGUUGGCUGAAAUAUAAUAUCCAUUUUUUUAUUAAAUUUCUCGUAUUUUUAAACCGAUGGGGGAUAUAACCUCUAACCUGCAUACGCUACUGUGUAAUACACUCGUAUAUGAUAAGUAUCUACACUUAACACUUUAAAUAUACCUAAACCCAAAUCAUCCGUCAAAAUUUUCGCCUAACGUCCACCACCAGCAAAGACCACACCGUCUGGUAUGGGGCACAACCGACCGAUCCGACCGUUCAUCCACGUAAAUUUAAAUUAAUUUAAAACAAUUCUUUUAUUAACAAUUCGUUUUACGUACAAAGCUGAACAUAAAUACAAAAAUGCAUUAUUAUUUUAAGACCUGACCAAUUAUUUUUUCACCACAAUUUAUAACGACGAUCAGAGGCACCUGGUUUCAAAAAUGUCAUGGUUGGCUCAAUAUUUUAUAAAUACAUGUACAAUUUUACCUGAAUCUUGUUGUAUAAUCGGUGGUUCCUAAUUGCGGACAAAGUAAUAAAAACUAUGGCAGUUGCGGACGAAACCUUAAAGGUGACAUACGAAAUUGCGGACACACUACCUGUGGAAUUUCCAAUCAUUAUUUUUGAUAUAACGAUUAUGUUAAUUAUCGAUGAUUAGUAUAUAUAUAUAAUAUGAUCGAUUCAAUUGGACUGAUUAUCUAUUAGCGUUAAGAUUGUGAGUUAAGCUUUCGGGACGACUGCCAAAAACUAUUAUUAAUCAGUUUAACGACGAUCUUACUCGUGUCUGGUACUACACUGUUUAAAUAUCUCUCGGUUUUUAUUAAAUAUUAGUGAAAAACUUAAAGAUUUACGCGUGAUUGACAGUUUUAAGUUCCGUUUCCACCGCAUAUUAAGCAAAUAUUUUCAACCCAGCCUACCAAUUUUUAUGUCCGCAACGCGCUUUGUUAGAUUUACAUAACUUGAGUCCACAGUUAAUAUUUUGAUAACAAUAUCCGUUGUUUCGUAUGUUAUGACAUUUUAAUACUACCAGCAUCAUAAGACAAAAAAUAAAAAAUGCCAGACAUCAGACACCAGUUAACCUGGUUGAUUAUCAAAAUCUACACUUUUUCUCAGCUAUAAAUAUAUAUGUAAAAAAAAAAAAAAAAAAAAACAUUUAUGUUCCUCAUUUAAUUUUUUUUAAAACCGUGUGGUGGUGGAGUUGGCUACGGCCUCAGAAUCCCUCUGUUCACGGCGCUCCUGACGACGAUAAGUUACCCGUUACUUUUUGGUUAUUCUAUCGACACGCGAUACGUGAUAAUAUUAUAUCAUGUUAUAUUGAUGGUUAUUAAAUGAUAACAUCCAACGGUGACGGCUCACAAGAAAACCGUCACGUGCAGCCGUUUAACGUGUUUUCUAGCUUACUGCACAACACUGGAGACUAUUAAAAUUAUAUUAUUGUCAACUUCUGCGGGGACACGUCUAUUUUCGUAAAUUAUGUACACGGCUACGACGAUGACGACGACGACGACGACGAUCUGCAACAUUAAAGAAAAUAACGCUGUAUCGUGGCGAUAUUCUUCGCACGAUGCACGUUAAGCUAAUUAAAAAUAAUAAUAAUAUAAUGUAUUAAAUUUUAUAUUUUUAUUCUGUCGGCUAACAGCCCGGGAUUCUAGGCGAUUUAGUUUAAUCGUUUAUUUUUGUGUGCGCGUACGCGUAAUGUAUUUCGUAUUAUGGAUACUUCGUCUUUUUACAAAUAAAAAAAAAAAAAAAAAAAUGAUUACACAAAAUCUCGAUAUCAUAUUUUUGUUUUAAUAUACGGCCGUUUUGCACAAUUGAUAUUAAAAUAUUACAAUGUUAUCAAUUAUACAAUGUUUAAAAUCCGUUUUCUGAAAUAUGUUUUUUUAUUUCAUCUUGUACCUACCUAUUAUUAUAAUGCAAG